rnacentral:rRNA from 1 species
CGUGAGGAACCUGCCUUUCANAGGGGGACAACAGUUGGAAACGACUGCUAAUACCGCAUAACGCAUGGGUAUCGCAUGGUAUCUGUGCCAAAGAUUUAUCGCUGAGAGAUGGCCUCGCGUCUGAUUAGCUAGUUGGUGAGGUAACGGCCCACCAAGGCGACGAUCAGUAGCCGGACUGAGAGGUUGGCCGGCCACAUUGGGACUGAGAUACGGCCCAGACUCCUACGGAAGGCAGCAG